rfam:Lactobacillus coleohominis DSM 14060 Scaffold177, whole genome shotgun sequence.
GGGAGGAUAGCUCAACUGGAUAGAGCAUCGGUCUUCUAAACCGAAGGUUGUGGGUUCGAUUCCCACUCUUCUCA